AAUUUAUUGCAUUUCUUCAUGGCUGCUCCACCAGCAACCCUUUUCUCGGUCGCCAUCUUCUUUUCUUCUCCUCUCUUUUUGGGAAAACCCCAAUCUGAGAAGAGGUUCCAGGCUGCCGAUGGCGCCGAGAGUGGGCC